AGCUUGGUAUUGGGGAUUUUUUUAAGCCUUAACUUUAACAUCACAAAUGUAUGCCAAGUAUCAGAAUAUAAAGGUUUUAAGUAUGUCAGAAAUUUUAUGUCUAGAUGCUAAUUUAAGGUUACCGUUGGUAACGGUGGAGAUGCUGCAGAGCCUGUGUAAUUCUGCAACUCCUGUCAGCUAUACAGGCCCUAGCAUUUUAGAAAUGUCUGACUUUGCAGCCUUGUUGCAUGAUGAAGCCAUGAAGCCAUUCCACUCAGCAGCUCUAGUUGCUUUGGUGUUACCAUGAGGGAAAUGGCAUCCCAUGGUAUCAUCAGUGGGCAUUUACUAUACUUCGGUGAAGCACAUCAGUAAUAUCAUGCUGGUUCGAGUACUUCAGCAAAUUUGGGCUUUGUAUCUCUUAUUAAAGGACUGAAUAGACAAGUGAUUCUUCACUGAUAGUCUGAGUCUUUCGUAUUCUUAUGAGAUAUUUUGCUGUUUCAUUUGAUAUAUUUGUAAGAAUUUGACAUAAAAGCAUUCUAAGCUGAGGACAGCUUCCUUAUUGAGGCAAAGUCAGUUUACCGAUAUUUUUUGGACAGUAAUGGAAGAAGAUACUGAAAUUAAUCUGUGGUUCCCUGAAUCCUAGACAAUGAGUAGGAAAUCAGGGGUGUGGCACUCAAAGGGGAAGUGAUGCAGCAGUAUCUGAACCCAAGUUAAGAAAUGUGUUUAAACUUUUAAGCUUGUGUUUCUUUUUGUGUUAGUGCACCCCAUCUCUAUAUGGGGAGGUGUGCCCUGUGCUUUCUUUUAUGUCUUUGGCAUAGAAGACAUGGCAAACAGGAAGUUGUGUAGCUGUUUUUUCAGAUAUUUUACACAUAUGAAUGACCUCAUAGUGCCCAGUAUGUGUUAGAUGUGUGGAGUUUUCCACUUGCUUUAGUUUUUGAUGCUAUAGUGCACUAGAAUUUCUGGGAGAAUAAUGGCAUCACUGGUGAUAUUUCACACCUUCAGAGUGCUUUGGAAACAACCUUUUCUUGUAAAUUGCUGUCAUUAUAUCUUUAAGUGGCUAGGCAUUGGUGGAGAGCAAAUGGUUAAGUCACUCUGGCAAAGGUGCUUUCUUACUAGUAAAACUUCUUCCUGUCUGGAAGGGGACCUGUUCUACAAAGAAGUAAACUCAGUUAUUUGUUCACUGAUGUUCUGUUUGUUUUGGAAGCCAGGACCAUCCCACUACUGAAUUUUAGACAGGACAGAAGAGAAAGCUGUUACAGAUUGUAAAAGCUUUUGAUGUAGUUUGUCCCUGGGACCAUUCAAGAUGCUAAAAAUCACCAAAACGCAGUGCAGC